GCCUGGUUGGCUCAGUCAGGUAAGCGUCUGACUUUGGCUCAGGUCAUGAUCUCAUGGCCUGUGGGUUCGAGCCCCGCGUCAGGCU
rfam:Felis catus isolate Cinnamon breed Abyssinian chromosome B3, whole genome shotgun sequence.